rnacentral:tRNA from 1 species
CAGGGUGUAGUUCAGUCUGGUAGAGCACGUGGUUUGGGACCACGUUGGCAGAGGUUCAAAUCCUCUCACCCUGACCA